UACGAAGGGGGCUAGCGUUGCUCGGAAUGACUGGGCGUAAAGGGCGCGUAGGCGGUUUGGACAGUCAGGUGUGAAAUUCCCGGGCUCAACCUGGGGGCUGCACUUGAUACGUAUGGACUGGAGUGGGGAAGAGGGUCGUGGAAUUCCCAGUGUAGAGGUGAAAUUCGUAGAUAUUGGGAAGAACACCGGUGGCGAAGGCGGCGACCUGGUCCUUGACUGACGCUGAGGCGCGAAAGCGUGGGGAGCGAACAGG
rnacentral:rRNA from 1 species